rnacentral:rRNA from 1 species
GAUGAACGCUAGCUACAGGCUUAACACAUGCAAGUCGAGGGACCGGCGCACGGGAGAGUAACACGUAUCAAACCUGCCCUUUACUCGGGGAUAGCCUUUAGAAAGAAAGAUUAAUACCCGAUAUAAAGGACGGGGAUGCGUUCCAUUAGGUUGUUGGUGAGGUAACGGCCCACCAAGCCUUCGAUGGAUAGGGGUUCUGAGAGGAAGGUCCCCCACAUUGGAACUGAGACCCGGUCCAAACGCCUACGGGAGGCAGCAGUGAGGAAUAUUGGUCAAUGGUCGUUAGCCUGAACCAGCCAAUUAGCGUGAAGGAUGAAGGCUUAUGGGUCUUAAACUUCUUUUAUAUAAGAAUAUGUAUUAUAUGAAUAAGGAUCGGCUAACUCCGUGCCAGCAGCCGCGGUAAUUC